rnacentral:rRNA from 1 species
AUUGAACGCUGGCGGCAGGCUUAACACAUGCAAGUCGAGCGAGUGGCGGACGGGUGAGUAAUGUCUGGGAAACUGCCUGAUGGAGGGGGAUAACUACUGGAAACGGUAGCUAAUACCGCAUACCAUCAGAUGUGCCCAGAUGGGAUUAGCUAGUUGGUGGGGUAAUGGCUCACCAAGGCGACGAUCCCUAGCUGGUCUGAGAGGAUGACCAGCCACACUGGAACUGAGACACGGUCCAGACUCCUACGGGAGGCAGCAGUGGGGAAUAUUGCACAAUGGGCGCAAGCCUGAUGCAGCCAUGCCGCGUGUAUGAAGAAGGCCUUCGGGUUGUAAAGUACUUUCAGCGGGGAGGCGUUACCCGCAGAAGAAGCACCGGCUAACUCCGUGCCAGCAGCCGCGGUAAUUC